rnacentral:lncRNA from 1 species
CUCUUGCUUAUCAUUCCAGAAUUUGGGAUUGUUGCAAGUCUAAGCCACAGAGUGAGAUUCCCACCCCAUCCCUGACUUCCUAAAACAAAACCAACAAACAAACAAAACCACCACCAUCCACAGGAUAGCUCAGUGGGUGUUAAAAUGCUUGUUCUUGAUUCCUGAAUGUUCUCUACCCUCCUAUUACAUAGAUACACACACACACACACACACACACACACACACACACACACACACACAGUGUCUUGAAGAUCUUUCCUAGGAGCGGGAAUCUAUUAAAAGCCCUUGUUCUCUACUUUUUGCAAUUAAUACAGUUGAAGGCUGAAUCUUUUCAGGGAGCUAGGUCUCCCUGUUAGAAACCUCUACCCUCUACUAUCUACUGCACUUUGCUGGUAGGGUGUCUGUAACUAUCUCACCCUGGACUAUAAGCUCCAUCAGGACAGGAAAUGUAUUUGCCCAAUCUUCAGGAUCAAGGACAACAUGCAACCUACUACAAGGGCUGAGCCUGUUUAAGGGAUAGAUCUCUCCAGCAUCAGUGACACGUGAUGCUAACAAGUAGGGUAAUCCAAGUUGGAAAUGAGAGUGUACGUGUAAUGAAACAGAAUUGCCUUUUUGCCCUUUAAAGAGCAAAAGCAUGACAGAGCCAGGCUUCAGCUUACUUCUCAUGCUCAUUCAUUCUUACACAACUGGAUGUCUGCAUUCAGGGAAGCAGCACAGCAGAUGGGGAUUGCCAACUUAUUUUCAAACCAUGCUCCCACACAUAUUAAUAAUUGCUCAAAAUUUACAGUAGCAUCUGUUCAAGGCUGAAUUGAGCCUGGGCCUCCAUCCUUAUGAAUGGAGUUUAUAUAAGAGAAUGGAGCUCAUACACAGAGGCUGAGCGUGUCUCUGUUUCAGGCAUGUCAAUGCAUAGCCCACCACAUGUGGGCGUGGAGAUCAGUGAGCAGGGCAGGAAAAAAAAAUCAUGAACUUACCUGAGACAUUUUGUGUUUACGGCUGAUGAGUUGUUUUGGCAACUUGAUUGAAGGGCAUCUUUGUAGAUGGCAAUGUCAUGGGCAAUGUCAUGGGACAAGUUAAAACAUUUCAACAAAUGUUAUUGCUAUCCUUGGACUGUUGUCCUGGGAGAAAUAUAAACCUGUAUGUAAACUGAAGUCUUUCGAAGCUAGAAAAUGGGACUUCUAUUCAUAUAGGCAAAUGAAGCAGGCCUACCAGACAAUAAACACAACUUAUGUUCAAAACCAGCACCCUAGAGGCUUGUGGGGCUGAGCCUGGCUCCCAACACUAGCAUCCAUCUACCAGUGACAGAAGUCACACAGGAAAGGCAGAUAUUAGAAUGAGGGGUGGUGGGCAUGAGAAGUCCCACACUUGGUCAAAGUCUCGCUGCUGACAUUUUGUGGGUUGGUAGGAAGAUGUUAAAUGCAAAUACAGAGAGGGGACAAGAGUAGAUUGCAUAUCAUAGGUCAUCCAAGGAGGGUUCCUGGAGCAGCUGGAUAUUUCUGGGAGUACGGCCAGACCAUGAGUGGCCAGAAGCCAUGGCCCAGAAAGAAAAGAGCUGAACCAAUUGAUAGGUCCCCAUCCCUUGGUUAUGUCUGGAACACAGCUCAUCAGAGGAAGGCAGGAGGAUCAAUCUGUUGCCCAGGGAAGCCCAGGGAACCUUUUAAACCAUGACCCAGGGAAGUUCCUGAGAGUCCACAUCUUUAGCCAUGAUUCAUAGGGGAGUUCCUGCUAUGCCCAGAAAAGAAGACUGCAGUAGCAGACAUCAUC